GCAAGUCGAGGGGUAACAGGGAUUGCUUGCAAUCCGCUGACGACCGGCGCACGGGUGCGUAACGCGUAUGCAACCUACCUUCUACAGGGGGAUAGUCAAUAGAAAUGUUGAAUAAUACCCCAUACGAUCAUUUAUCUGCAUAGAUAAAUGAAGAAAGCUCCGGCGGUAGAAGAUGGGCAUGCGUUCUAUUAGUUAGUUGGUGAGGUAACGGCUCACCAAGGCGACGAUAGAUAGGGGUUCUGAGAGGAUAGUC
rnacentral:rRNA from 1 species